rnacentral:lncRNA from 1 species
GUUAUACAAUAUAUGAGGAUUAGUCCCAUGGGGGAAGCAAAACAGGUUAAGACAGUGUAACUACAGGCAUCUGUGGGCUGUGGUGUUGUCAUAUCAUACAGUAUUUGGCCUCUGCUGGAAAAUCAUACUGCCAUAAUUCUUACAAUAUAGACAGGUACUCUGGCAUUGAGUUGAAUUCCAACAGAAGGCCAAGGAAAAACUGGGCUUUGAAGCAGAGAAGGAAAUCCCAAGGAGGCCUGUUGCUGGAAGCAGAGAAGAAGGAAGGAACAGUUAAUAGAAUUGGAGCAUGUUCAUCUUUCACUGCUCUGUGAUUAUCUGCUGGAACUGUAAUUUCUUCUGCUAUACCUUUUGAGACAGGAUUAUAUGGAUACAACCAAGGAGAAUGUUACCUGUGAAAUGUGUUAUUUAGCGCCUCAACGCUUCUGCUGUUACAAAACCAUGGGACUGCAGCUUCUCUCUUUGUCAAGUUCUCCCUACUUCAAGGAACAUUUAAUUUCAGUUUUUAGUGGCUGGGCUUCAUUGCCGGAAAUGAC